GAUGAACGCUGGCGGCGUGCCUAAUACAUGCAAGUCGAGCGAACGGACGAGAAGCUUGCUUCUCUGAUGUUAGCGGCGAACGGGUGAGUAACACGUGGAUAACCUACCUAUAAGACUGGGAUAACUUCGGGAAACCGGAGCUAAUACCGGAUAAUAUUUUGAACCGCAUGGUUCAAUAGUGAAAGACGGUCUUGCUGUCACUUAUAGAUGGAUCCGCGCUGCAUUAGCUAGUUGGUAAGGUAACGGCUUACCAAGGCAACGAUGCAUAGCCGACCUGAGAGGGUGCUCGGCCCGACCGGAACUGAGAAACGGUCCAGACUCCUACGGGAGGCAGCCGUAGGGAAUCUUCCGCAAUGGGCGAAAGCCUGACGGAGCAACGCCGCGUGAGUGAUGAAGGUCUUCGGAUCGUAAAACUCUGUUAUUAGGGAAGAACAUAUGUGUAAGUAACUGUGCACAUCGUGACGGUACCUAAUCAGAAAGCCACGGCUAACUACGUG
rnacentral:rRNA from 1 species